GACGAACGCUGGCGGCGUGCCUAAUACAUGCAAGUCGAACGCAGUGGGGACGGGUGCGUAACACGUGGGUAACCUCCCAUCAGAAGGGAUAACACUUGGAAAAAGGUGCUAAACCGAUACUGAUGGAUGAACCCGCGGUGCAUGAGCUAGUUGGUGAGGUAACGUCUCACCAAGGCCACGAUGCAUAGACGACCUGAGAGGGUGAUAGGCCACAUUGGGACUGAGACACGGCCCAGACUCCUACGGGAUGCAGCAGUAGGGAAUCUUCGGCAAUGGACGAAAGUCUGACCGAGCAACGCCGCGUGAGUGAAGAAGGUUUGCGGAUCGUAAAACUCUGUUGUUAGAGAAGCGGUAUCUAACCAGAAAGCCACGGCUAACUACGUGCCAGCAGCCGCGGUAAUUC
rnacentral:rRNA from 1 species